AAGUCGUAACAAGGUUUCCGUAGGUGAACCUGCGGAAGGAUCAUUAUAGAUUGGCCGAAAGGCCGUGUCUUCAUCCACACACACCGUGAACCGUUUUGGAGCCCCUAGGGGUUCCGGACAACAACCACAAACAAAACGUAAAGAAUGUAAACUAUCGUAACAAAAACAAAACUUUCAACAACGGAUCUCUUGGCUCUC
rnacentral:misc_RNA from 1 species